UGCGUAGGUGGCCUGACAAGUCAGAGGUGAAAGGCUACGGCUUAACCGUAGUAAGCCUUUGAAACUGACAGGCUUGAGUGCAGGAGAGGAAAGUGGAAUUCCUAGUGUAGCGGUGAAAUGCGUAGAUAUUAGGAGGAACACCAGUGGCGAAGGCGACUUUCUGGACUGUAACUGACACUGAGGCACGAAAGCGUGGGGAGCGAACAGGAUUAGAUACCCUGGUAGUCC
rnacentral:rRNA from 1 species